ensembl:lncRNA
GUUGCCAUUUCCUUCUCCAGAGGAUCUUCCCAACCCAGGAAUCGAACUGGAGUCUCCUGCAUUGCAGGCAAAUUCUUUACCGACUGAGCUAUGAGGAAAGCACAUCUCUAUAAUGGAAUAAAAAUGCCUACCUAAACAGGGUGCUUAUGAGGACUGAGUGAGUAACUGCAUGAAAGGCAUCUGCCACACAAUGAGUUCUGGACCAAUACAUGGAAGUUAUUAUUAUUCUUGUUAUUAGAUGGUUACUGUAAGGAAAUGAGCCAUCCUAAUUGUUAGUCAGUGGUAUGUGGUUGUCUAUCUGCACUGGAAUGGACGUGAUAUAGCGUUUAUAGGAGGCAUUGCCUCAUGACUGGGGAAGCUGGAUUGACCAGUUGAGUCCAGCCAUCCAUGCUCGCCAGGUUGAUCUGUCCUUGGGAAGAGUCGUCCAGGAGGUUUCCUCAGUUGAUCCGGUUUGCUGCCUCUCCUACCCACUCCCUCAUCUCUCCAAACCUCCAGGAAACCCUGGUGUGCCUGUGAAGUUCUGUCAGGGGUGGUACUGUGAAAUAUUCAUCCCCUUCAGCUCUCCAAGUGUCUAUAACUGCCUUCGAAAUGGAGAAAUCAUAUAAGCAGCAGGGAAAGGAGGAAGGAGGCUGAAAGGGUGAGUAUUUAUGACAAAUAGAUUGACACUAUUCGGAUGAUACGGUGGAACAAAUGCUAGCAGAUGGGUCUAGAUGUCAUUGCCUACUUUUGCUACUAUUAUCACUCUUACCAUCAUCUUUCAUUCUGAAUUUCUCCAAUCUUCUAAUCUUGUUUUUUUGACAACUCUGACCAGUUAGCCUAGCCAUUCAUCCCCGCCCAGGAGUUCAUGAAUAUCCCUGAUUCAGGCUCCUUCUUCCUCUAUUAAAAGUGAAAAACCAAGUACACUGCUCUUGGCCUUGCCCUUUGGGAGGAUUUCCCUUCACCAGCGCAGCCACCCCUGAGUGGGGCUGUAACGUGGCCACAGUCCUCCUACAACUGGCUCUGACAUACUGUGCUGACUCAGCUGUGAGCCAGGAGCUUUUAUUUCUAAUCUUGUUUUUGUUUUUGGCCUGCUUCAUCUGUGGAUCAUAAUUAAUGCCCA